UACGUAGGGUGCAAGCGUUAAUCGGAAUUACUGGGCGUAAAGCGUGCGCAGGCGGUUUUGUAAGCCAGAUGUGAAAUCCCCGGGCUUAACUUGGGAACUGCAUUUGGGACUGCAAGGCUGGAGUACGGCAGAGGGAGGUGGAAUUCCACGUGUAGCAGUGAAAUGCGUAGAGAUGUGGAGGAACACCGAUGGCGAAGGCAGCCUCCUGGGCUAGUACUGACGCUCAUGCACGAAAGCGUGGGGAGCAAACAGG
rnacentral:rRNA from 1 species